CAGGAUAAGUGGCCACCACCAGACCA
rnacentral:piRNA from 1 species